CCUUACCUACCCUUGACAUGUCUGGGAAUGCCGAAGAGAUUUGGCAGUGCUCGCAAGAGAACCGGAACACAGGUGCUGCAUGGCUGUCGUCAGCUCGUGUCGUGAGAUGUUGGGUUAAGUCCCGCAACGAGCGCAACCCUUGUCAUUAGUUGCUACGAAAGGGCACUCUAAUGAGACUGCCGGUGACAAACCGGAGGAAGGUGGGGAUGACGUCAAGUCCUCAUGGCCCUUAUAGGUAGGGCUUCACACGUCAUACAAUGGUCGGGACAGAGGGCUGCCAACCCGCAAGGGGGAGCCAAUCCCAGAAACCCGAUCGUAGUCCGGAUCGCAGUCUGCAACUCGACUGCGUGAAGUCGGAAUCGCUAGUAAUCGCGGAUCAGCAUGUCGCGGUGAAUACGUUCCCGGGUCUUGUACACACCGCCCGUCACACCAUGGGAGUGGGUUUUACCAGAAGUAGUUAGCCUAACCGCAAGGGGGGCGAUUACCACGGUAGGAUCCAUGACUGGGGUGAAGUCGUAACAAGGUAGGCGUACUACA
rnacentral:rRNA from 1 species